GAAAAAUAUUAAUCACAUGUAUAUAGUUCUUAUUACUACAUAAUAAUUUGCCUUUCAAAAUGGUAAGAAAACAAGGAAGUUACAAGCAGUUGAUGUGAUUAUGACAUUUUUGCUCAUUAUGCCCAGGAGUGACCGCCUGACAAAGUGUGGAUUUUCCACAACUCAGAAUCUGGCUCGGAUAUCUGGUCUUGUCACCUCCCAAGAGGCACUUGUCAGUGACUCAGACCCAGAAGACUGUGGCAUGCAAAGGUUGAGCCCCACAGGAUUUGGAGUCAUAAUAUCUUGGUCUAAGGUUUCUGUCCAGCUGAGAUAUCAUGACUGCAUUCCUUAUAUGCUUGAGAUUGGUUAUUUCCUUAUAAAUGAGGCUCCAAAUAUCUACCUCAUAAUGUAUUUGUAAAGGCCUAGUAGUCUAUCGUGUACACACACACGGAGCAGAGAAGAUGGAGUAAAAAUGGACCACACAGGUGGAGAUGGUGAGAAGGGGUGUCCUUGAUCUGAGCAUGCUAAGAAAUCGUCAGUAUGUUUCUACCCCUGCUUCCUGCUGCUACUAGCUGGAGAAUGAGAGAAUGGCAGGCAAAGACACAGGAGACUGGAACAUUAGGAAAAUAUUUCAUAUGGGCCCACAUAUUUCAAGCCCAUCAUUAUUCAAUUGAGGAGUUUGAUGUUCCUGAGGAGAGGGAAAUUAUUGCCUCCGAAGAGCUUUGCUGGCAGAAAGGAAAAUAUCACUGCGAUGGUGGUGUACUAAUUAUUUUCAAGUCUGUGCGGGACUCUAAAGCAGGAAGACGGAGAGAACGUUUAUUACAUCUCUCAAGCCCUUCAUUUGGGAAGGGGGGGCUGGUGAUGGGGAGGUAACAAGCUUACCAGGACUGAAGAGAAAUUGUUAUUCUUCAAAGCGCCUUCUCACGAAGGUUUCAAAAUUGUAGAGAAUCUCUUAGAUUCUGAGCGUCCGGGGGUCAGGAGGCCGGGAGUGGCUGUGCUGGCUCCUCCUUUCACUGCUGCUCUUUCCAAAUUUAUUCCUAAGUCAUGAAUACUAUCAUGCCGAGAAAAGGAAAGACGGUUAACUCUAGAAGAAAGAAUUCCAAGGAGGGUAUGAUGUAGGGACAGUUCCCACCAGAGGGGAAAGGCAAGUGCGAGAAGAGGAAAGGGACUUGGCAGAAUAAAUACUGAAGUAAAGAUAAAGCCUGAGACUCUCAGCAUCCCAAUGCUCCCUCCUGUGGGCUCCAGAUGCACUGAGAGGGAAACCAAGGACAAGAUGGGUGGUGGCUGAGAGUGAAUGGUGAAGAGUGAGGUGACUGCUGAGUCCCUGACAAUCGGUGCAAUAAGAAAGAGCUGAAUUGGUACCAAGACAGCAAUGUGGGAACACCAAGUCUUUACUGUGAUAAGAAGACGGCCCUUGAGUUAGAGCAUCUAUGAACACUUCAGAAAUGGAUGCAAGGAGGGCAAAGCCCAGUGCCUAGAGAACAGGCAACAUGAGCUCCAUUUCACCUAUGGAUCAACGGAAGCCGUGAAGAAAGAGAACAUGGAGACAGGAGACUCCCUGAGGCUAUGUGAGCUCCGCUUUGUGUCCAGAUGCCAUCUUUGGAAGAAGAUGAGAGAGGGAAAGCUCUUUCAGAAAGAAAUGCAAACCUCGUUUUACCCCCAAAGGAGACUGUUUACAAUAGGAGAGACUUUAUUAGUUGUAAUUAGAAAGUUUGAAAUAGUUUCUGCCAUCAGUGGAAAUGAGUGGCAAAAAGUUUCUAUUUGUUAUAGAAAUAGAGAAGCGAAAUUCCAUGCACACUUCAGGUUGUAUUGCACUAAAUUUUGAUCCUAUGCUUCAUGCAUUAUUUCAUUUAACCAUUCCAUAAACUCUAUUAUUAUUCCCAUUUUAGAGCAGACCAUACUGAGAUUAAAGGAAUCUAGAUAACUUAGGCAACAUCACAAAGCUAGUAAGUCAUAGAUGUGAAAUUCUGUUUGACCCGAAAGCUGCCUAUUUUAAUCAUCUAGUUUACAAUAGAGGAUAUAUAUUAUUUCUGUGACAAUUUAAGUGACACCAAUAGACUUCAAAUAGAGUCAGCAUAUGAAUUUGUCAUUGGAUAUUCACAGAAUAUGUUAAUUUUUAAAGUUUAAAGGAGAAUGUUGAACCAACAGUUGGUUUUCUUUUUAUCUCUGUCCUCAUCAGGACUCAGUUAUUGAUCCUGCCUACAGACAAAAAGUCAGGCUCCCAUGAAAGUGUUUUCUUCAGAAUCCUUCUAACCCCUCAGA
ensembl:lncRNA